GAUGCAAACUACGAAUACCGAAGAAUGUUAUCACGGGAGACACACGGCGGGUGCUAACGUCCGUCGUGAAGAGGGAAACAACCCAGACCGCCAGCUAAGGUCCCAAAGUCAUGGUUAAGUGGGAAACGAUGUGGGAAGGCACAGACAGCCAGGAUGUUGGCUUAGAAGCAGCCAUCAUUUAAAGAAAGCGUAAUAGCUCACUGGUCGAGUCGGCCUGCGCGGAAGAUGUAACGGGGCUAAACCAUG
rnacentral:rRNA from 2 species